CGGCGAAUACGUUCCCGGACCUUGCACACACCGCCCGUCAAGCCAUGGAAGCUGGGUGUACCUAAAGUCGGUAACCGUAAGGAGCCGCCUAGGGUAAAACUAGUGACUGGGGCU
rnacentral:rRNA from 1 species